rnacentral:rRNA from 1 species
GACGAACGCUGGCGGCGUGCCUAAUACAUGCAAGUCGAACGAGUGGCGGACGGGUGAGUAAUGUCUGGGAAACUGCCUGAUGGAGAGGGAUAACUACUGGAAACGGUAGCUAAUACCGCAUACCAUCGGAUGUGCCCAGAUGGGAUUAGCUAGUAGGUGGGGUAACGGCUCACCUAGGCGACGAUCCCUAGCUGGUCUGAGAGGAUGACCAGCGACACUGGAAAUGAGACACGGGCCAGACGCCUACGGAAGGCAGCAGUGGGGAAGAUUGCACAAUGGGCGCAAGCCGGAUGCAGCCAUGCCGCGUGUAUGAAGAAGGCCUUCGGGUUGUAAAGGACUUUAAGCGGGGAGGCGUUACCCGCAGAAGAAGCACCGGCUAACUCCGUGCCAGCAGCCGCGGUAAUAC